rnacentral:rRNA from 1 species
GUGGGGAAUUUUGGACAAUGGGCGCAAGCCUGAUCCAGCAAUGCCGCGUGCAGGAAGAAGGCCUUCGGGUUGUAAACUGCUUUUGUACGGAACGAAACGGUCCUGGUUAAUACCUGGGGCUAAUGACGGUACCGUAAGAAUAAGCACCGGCUAACUACGUGCCAGCAGCCGCGGUAAUACGUAGGGUGCGAGCGUUAAUCGGAAUUACUGGGCGUAAAGCGUGCGCAGGCGGUGCUGUAAGACAGGCGUGAAAUCCCCGGGCUCAACCUGGGAAUUGCGCUUGUGACUGCAGUGCUGGAGUACGGCAGAGGGGGAUGGAAUUCCGCGUGUAGCAGUGAAAUGCGUAGAUAUGCGGAGGAACACCGAUGGCGAAGGCAGUCCCCUGGGCCUGUACUGACGCUCAUGCACGAAAGCGUGGGGAGCAAACAGGAUUAGAUACCCGUGUAGUCC